CAGGAGGAGUGGGAAUGCCUGGACUCUGCUCAGCGGGCUUUGUACAUUGAUGUGAUGUUGGAGAAUUACAACAACCUGGUCUUUGUGGACCAGGCUGGCCUCGAACUCACAGAGAUCCACCUGGCUCUCUGCCUCCCGAGUGCUGGGAUUAAAGGCGUGCGCCACCAACACCCGGCUAAGACUUUAAUCUUGAAAGGAAUUGGGUCUUCUGAACGGUAUUCUUCAUUUCCUAUCACUUAAGAGCUAUUGCAAAUGUCAUUCUGUCCAUCAACAUGUGAAGACUGAAACAGAGUCUUGUCAGUGUAAUGAGCUUGGCAAAGUGCUU